rnacentral:rRNA from 1 species
GUUGUAUGGUUAAGUGACUAAGCGUACACGGUGGAUGCCUUGGCAGUCAGAGGCGAUGAAAGGCGUAAUAACUUGCGAUAAGCCCAGAUUAGGUAGUAAUAACCUUUUGAGUCUGGGAUUCCUGAAUGGGGAAACCCACUUACAUAAGUAAGUAUCCUGUUGUGAAUACAUAGCAACAGGAGGCAAACCGGGGGAACUGAAACAUCUAAGUACCCCGAGGAAGAGAAAUCAACCGAGAUUCCGAAAGUAGCGGCGAGCGAAAUUGGAUUAGCCCUUAAGCUUUUAAUGAUGCAGGUGAAGAGUCUGGAAAGUCUCGCAAUAAAGGGUGAUAGCCCCGUAACCGACACAUCAUAAUCAGUGAAAACGAGUAGGGCGGGACACGUGAUAUCCUGUCUGAAUAUGGGGGGACCAUCCUCCAAGGCUAAAUACUACUGACUGACCGAUAGUGAACCAGUACCGUGAGGGAAAGGCGAAAAGAACCCCUGUGAGGGGAGUGAAAUAGAACCUGAAACCGUGUACGUACAAGCAGUAGGAGCACCUUCGUGGUGUGACUGCGUACCUUUUGUAUAAUGGGUCAGCGACUUAAUUUUAGUAGCAAGGUUAACCGUUUAGGGGAGCCGUAGGGAAACCGAGUCUUAACUGGGCGUACAGUUGCUAGGAUUAGACCCGAAACCAGGUGAUCUAGCCAUGGGCAGGUUGAAGGUUGAGUAACAUCAACUGGAGGACCGAACCGACUAAUGUUGAAAAAUUAGCGGAUGACUUGUGGCUAGGGGUGAAAGGCCAAUCAAACCUGGAGAUAGCUGGUUCUCCCCGAAAGCUAUUUAGGUAGCGCCUCGGACGAAUACUACUGGGGGUAGAGCACUGUUAAGGCUAGGGGGUCAUCCCGACUUACCAACCCUUUGCAAACUCCGAAUACCAGUAAGUACUAUCCGGGAGACACACGGCGGGUGCUAACGUCCGUCGUGGAGAGGGAAACAACCCAGACCGCCAGCUAAGGUCCCAAAGUAUAGCUAAGUGGGAAACGAUGUGGGAAGGCUCAGACAGCCAGGAUGUUGGCUUAGAAGCAGCCAUCAUUUAAAGAAAGCGUAAUAGCUCACUGGUCGAGUCGGCCUGCGCGGAAGAUGUAACGGGGCUAAGCUAUACACCGAAGCUGCGGCUACGUACCUUAGGGUAUGUGGGGUAGGGGAGCGUUCUGUAAGCCGUUGAAGGUGGUCUGUAAGGGCUGCUGGAGGUAUCAGAAGUGCGAAUGCUGACAUGAGUAACGAUAAAGGGAGUGAAAAACUCCCUCGCCGGAAGACCAAGGGUUCCUGUCCAACGUUAAUCGGGGCAGGGUAAGUCGACUCCUAAGGCGAGGCCGAAAGGCGUAGUCGAUGGGAAACGGGUUAAUAUUCCCGUACUUCUUACAAUUGCGAUGGGGGGACGGAGAAGGCUAGGUGGGCCUGGCGACGGUUGUCCAGGUUCAAGUACGUAGGCGG